rnacentral:rRNA from 1 species
UACGUAGAUCCCGAGCGUUGUCCGGAUUUACUGGGCGUAAAGGGAGCGUAGGCGGGCUUUUAAGUGAGAUGUGAAAUACUCGGGCUCAACUUGAGUGCUGCAUUUCAAACUGGAAGUCUAGAGUGCAGGAGAGGAGAAUGGAAUUCCUAGUGUAGCGGUGAAAUGCGUAGAGAUUAGGAAGAACACCAGUGGCGAAGGCGAUUCUCUGGACUGUAACUGGCGCUGAGGCUCGAAAGCGUGGGGAGCAAACAGG